rnacentral:rRNA from 1 species
UGGGGAAUUUUGCACAAUGGAGGAAACUCUGAUGCAGCGACGCCGCGUGAGUGAUGAAGAUCUUCGGAUUGUAAAACUCUGUCCUUAGUGAAGAUAAUGACAGUAACUAAGAAGCAAGCCCUGGCUAAAUACGUGCCAGCAGCCGCGGUAAUACGUAUGGGGCAAGCGUUGUCCGGAAUUAUUGGGCGUAAAGGGUACGUAGGCGGUUUAAUAAGUCCUAAUUAAAAGGCUAUGGCUCAACCAUAGUAUGGUUAGGAAACUAUUGAACUUGAGUAGAUGAGGGGAAAGUGGAAUUCCAUGUGUAGCGGUGAAAUGCGUAGAUAUAUGGAGGAACACCAAUGGCGAAGGCAACUUUCUGGAAUCAAACUGACGCUGAGGUACGAAGGCGUGGGGAGCAAACAGG